GACGAACGCUGGCGGCGUGCUUAACACAUGCAAGUCGAACGGAGCGAAUGAAAGCUUGCUUUUAUGAGCUUAGUGGCAAACGGGUGAGUAACACGUAGACAACCUGCCGACAGGAUGGGGACAACAUUCCGAAAGGAAUGCUAAUACCGAAUGAAGCGGAGGAGAGGCAUCUCUCCUGCGUGAAAGAUGGCCUCUUUUUAUGCUAUCACCUGUUGAUGGGUCUGCGUCUGAUUAGCUGGUUGGUGAGGUAACAGCUCACCAAGGCGACGAUCAGUAGCCGGUCUGAGAGGAUGAACGGCCACAUUGGGACUGAGACACGGCCCAGACUCCUACGGGAGGCAGCAGUGGGGAAUCUUCCGCAAUGGGCGCAAGCCUGACGGAGCAACGCCGCGUGAGUGAAGAAGGUCUUCGGAUCGUAAAGCUCUGUUGACGGGGACGAACGUGCGGGGUGCGAAUAGCGCUUUGUAAGAC
rnacentral:rRNA from 1 species